CCUACGGGAGGCAGCAGUGAGGAAUAUUGGUCAAUGGGCGCAAGCCUGAACCAGCGACGCCGCGUGCGGGAUGAAGGGGCUUUGCCUCGUAAACCGCUGUCGGAUGGGACGAAAGGUGGCUUUGAGCCACUGGGACGGUACCAUCAAAGGAAGGAUCGGCUAACUACGUGCCAGCAGCCGCGGUAAUACGUAGGAUCCGAGCGUUGUCCGGAGUUACUGGGUGUAAAGGGUGCGUAGGCUGUUCUGUGCGUCAGAGGUGAAAUCCACGGGCUUAACUCGUGGGGUGCCUUUGAUACGGCAGGGCUUGAGUACGAGAGAGGUGCGUGGAAUUCCUGGUGUAGCAGUGAAAUGCGUAGAUAUCAGGAGGAACACCGGUGGCGAAGGCGGCGCACUGGCUCGUAACUGACGCUGAGGCACGAAAGCGUGGGGAUCAAACAGGAUUAGAUACCCUGGUAGUCCACGCCUUAAACGAUGCAUGCUUGGUGUUGGUCUCGCAAGAGAUCAGUGCCGUAGUUAACAUGAUAAGCAUGCCACCUGGGGAGUACGAUCGCAAGGUUGAAACUCAAAGGAAUUGACGG
rnacentral:rRNA from 1 species